rnacentral:rRNA from 1 species
GAUGAACGCUGGCGGCGUGCCUAAUACAUGCAAGUCGAGCGAACAGAUGAGGAGCUUGCUCCUCUGACGUUAGCGGCGGACGGGUGAGUAACAUGUGGAUAACCUACCUAUAAGACUGGGAUAACUUCGGGAAACCGGAGCUAAUACCGGAUAAUAUAUUGAACCGCAUGGUUCAAUAGUGAAAGACGGUUUUGCUGUCACUUAUAGAUGGAUCCGCGCCGCAUUAGCUAGUUGGUAAGGUAACGGCUUACCAAGGCAACGAUGCGUAGCCGACCGGAGAGGGGGAUCGGCCACACUGGAACUGAGACACGGUCCAUACUCCUACGGGAGGCAGCAGUAGGGAAUCUUCCGCAGUGGGCGAAAGCCUGACGGAGCAACGCCGCGUGAGUGAUGAAGGUCUUCGGAUCGUAAAGCUCUGUUAUUAGGGAAGAACAAAUGUGUAAGUAACUAUGCACGUCUUGACGGUACCUAAUCAGAAAGCCACGGCUAACUACGUG